CAGUACAUUUUAUCCAUGCCAUUUGUUUCUUUUUCUUUAUUCUUUUAUGAGUGGAUACUUUCACACACUCUAAUUCACAGCUGCUUUCUUCUCCAAGGUGGAGUCUGCUGUUGAGCUCUCUGUAGCAUUUUCUAUCUCAUUCAGUAUCUUCUUCAGCUCUAGAAUUUCUGUUUGAAGGGAAAAUAAAUACAGCAAUAAAAUUUUGUAUGUAGCAAGAUUGAUUUAUAGAUGUCAGAAUAAAAGUGAGUUUCAGCAGCCUGGAAUGUUUUGAGGCAUGCCAAGGCAGGAGUGUGGAUGGUGUGUGUGGUCACUACUUAGACAUGUGUCUUUCUUACUUUGCAUAUUUUUUUUCAGUGUUGGGCAUGAAAUCCAGGGCCUCAUGCAUCCCAGGCAACACUCUACCACUGAGCUAAACCCAGAUCUUGGCUCAUAACUGAAACUCCAGGAAUGUGGCUGGACUUAGAUUUCAUGGAUCCGUCCUACCUAUAUCUUGAGCAAUUAGACAAAUCAAGAGAGGAGAGACAAUCUGGCCAUGUCCUGCAAGUAUCCUAGAGAAGGACCAUGACAGUGGGGUGGGGAGAGGAAGAAGGAAGAGAAUCUGACAUGUAGGCCUUAACUAUGGAGCAACAGAGAGUCAGAGACCUGGGAUCCAAUGAGAAAUCCCCUCAGCACAGCCCUCAGGUUCCCAACAAUUAGAGAGGAUUUUAUUUAUUCACAUCCCACUGAGCUGAGAUAAAGAAACAAGAAGCCCCAUCUUAAAGCAUCUGAAGAGAUAUACUCAGAGUAUAUAAAAUACUUCUUUCAAGGCAAUAAAGUGCCCCAAACAAAACAAGAUGCUCCAAAGACAGAACCCCUGAUACCACAGUAGAAUCAAUGUCCAAGAAGGAGUUCAGAUUGCACAGAGGAAAUGUGAUCUGUGAAGUAAGGGAUAGUGUAAGGAGUGAAAACAAAGUAGAUAUACAGAAAGUGAAAGAUCACUUCAGUAAACAGAGAUUGUGAGAAAAAUACAAGCAGAAAUCCUCAAAAUGAAGAAAACAAUUAACCAAAAGUUAGAAUUCAAAAGAAGGCACCACCAACACAGAGACCAGUUGGAAGAAUGAGCCUCAGACAAUGAAGACAAAAUAUAAUGUCUUGAAAGUAGAGUGGAGAAUUUCCCAGAUUUUUUAUUUUCUUUGCAUUAAUCAUUUCUUUAUGAUUGUUUUUUACUCAUGGUAACUUGUUAAUUAUACAUGAGUUUAUAAUCUUGCAGGGAAUGUUACCCAACAUUUCUUUAAGAAAAUAUUACAAAUCUAUGUUUCAGGUUGAGUGUGGAGAAGAGAACCCAGCUGACCUGGGCAGUGGCAUGGAACCUCCUGGACAGAUAGGACAGGAGCUGAGCUUUGGACCCCAGGCUGGGAUUCUCCCUGGACGUGUGCUGUGCUCAGGGAGAGGAAAGCGGCUAGGGACCCCUAAGGACAGAGGAGCCACCACAGGACCCAAAUAAAAGGUAUUAGCCUGUCUUUUUGUGGGUAUUUUCUGCAGCCCAGUUCAUCUGGAGUGACCUUGAGUGUUUAGCUGUGGAAUGUGUCAUGUAAUAAUAAGAGAAAUGCAAGAUCUUAUGCAAAAUUAAUAAGUUAAUUUCAUGAAGUUCCUCUUAUUAGUUAUUGCAGGCAAAGUCAUUUCUCUGUUUAAUUUGUUUGUUUGUUUUAUUAGGUUUGUAUUUGAAUUUCACACAAAACAGCUUUUGGAGGGACCUCUAGCAUUUCACUUCAUCUCUUCACUAACUUGGCCAAGUCCUGCCCAGGACAGGUCCUGCUCCCUCUGCAGUGCCCAUGCUCAUCCUGCCUGCUCAUUCAGAAGGUCCCUGGACACUUCUGUGCUUAUCCUCCACAUGCCAGGCCAGGCUGCUGCAGCUGACAGGGCCACUCAUGGGUGUGGCCUGAGCUAUGACCCAGGCAGUCAUGGUCCACAGCCCUCAGCUGCACCUGUUCCCUGAGUUCCCAGCACCUUCCUCUCACAGGGCAGAAAAUCUGCUGAGCUGCUGCCCAGAGGAGCAGCUCAUAUGGCAGCUGUGCCACCCAGGCAGGGAGGUUUUUGUUCAGGGCUGCACCACUGUGAGAGGAGCUUGUAUACCUUGCCAGCAGUAAUACACCCCAGCAUCCUCAGGCUCCACCCUGCUGAUUCUCAGUGUGAAAUCUGUCCGUGACCCACUGCCACUGAACCUGUCUGGGACCCCAGUGUAGCGGUUGGAUACAAGAUAUAUUAGACCCCGUGGAGCCUGGCCUGGCUUGUGCACAACCCAGUGCAAAUAUGUGUUUCCAUUACUGUGUAGGAGGCUCUGACUGGACCUGCAGGAGAUGGAGGCUGGCUGUCCAGGGGUGACGGGCUCAGAGAGAGGAGUCUGGGUCAUCACAAUAUCCCCACUGGUUCCUGUAAAAAUCACAGAAUAAUGCAAGAUUAUAUAUAAACUUUAAGAAAACAUUUUGCACUUUUUCUUUUUGGUAUAUUUCACAGUAAAUUAAUUUUUGUUUUUGAUUUAUACACUAAAACUAUUUAUAUACAUAAAGAACUCUGAUUGAGUAAGCUCUAAAAGCUUCUCUAGAAUUCCCUUUAACAUCCCCCUCUUAUUAUGUGACAACUUUCAUUAGAGUCAGUUCCUUGCACCUUCUGGAAUACACUCUCACAUCAGUUGACCUCAGCUGCCUCAUCCUGGAGGAUACACCUGCACAUCCCUUAUGUGGACACAGCACACAUGGGAAUAAUGGGGGUCCCUGGCUCACCUCCCUCCCCCUUCUCCUUCCCCAUCCCCUCUGUCCUCACCAGGGAUCCAGAGGAAUAACAGCCCCAGGAGCUGAGCAGGGAGCCUCAUUUUGAGAAGCUGAGUUGAGGAGAUCUGAUGAGUCAAAGCCACAGCAUGAUGUUGAAGAAGUUCAAGAGCUUCUGGUGUCUGAUGUUACCUGGAGAAAUACAAGUGCAUCAGGGAAAGUGUAGAUGACACCUUUUCCUAGCCCAGUGAAUGAAAUAAGAGCAGCAGUGUGACAAGAAGCUGGUGGGAAGAGAAUUCAUGUUUCAGCUGAAGAACAAGUAGCCCUGCUCAAGGAAGGAGGACAAGGAGCAUGUCCCCUGAGGUAGUCAAUGUGAAGCUCCUGGGGCAAGGUCUUUAACUGGUGGCCAUUCUUUCCUAGUCAUCUCCAUGCAUUUGACACUCAGAGCCAACAAACAUUCCCCAGGAGAUGGACACCUGAGCCCAUGGGAUAGUGUGGAUAAAGAGGAUUCUGCAUUAGUUCCUUCUCAUAGAUGAUAGAGACAUCCCUCCUCAUGUGCUCCUCCUUGUCAGGGACACUAGGGAGCAGAUGCCACCACCCUGGGUUUUAAAGUAGAUUCCCUAGGUCAGAACUGCACCCAGGCACUCUCCCCAUAUUCAGGGGUUCCAUGUGCACUAUUGUUCUCCUGGGACUUGCCCCAAGGUGUCUUGGGGAGAAGGUCCUUUUCCCUGCACAGGGACAUUGAUUUCAGUCCUCCUCCUCCACAGGUGGGACAGAGGGAGCCUGUAUUGUGUUGGCCAACAUGGCUGUGAUGUUUUCUUCCCAUCCCAGGACCUCUGGCACAGCCUUUCCACUGUGUGGAAUGUGGGCCACCAGCAGCCAAGGACCCUGCCAUGUGUCUCUUAGUUUAACUGAACCUCUGUGGCUGUCCUGCCCUGAGUGGGCAGCAUCCUCUGAGCCUGUGAAACAUGCCUGUUUGCAGUUUCCCCAGGCUGCGGUCUUCCUGUGCUUUUUCUGAAUGAGCAGAAGGAAAGGAAAUGAAGGAGAAUGGUUUGGAACUCACUGAGUAGGAACAGGAAAAGUGCAGGGUCUCAGAAAGUUCCAGAGCACAGAACCCCUUGUGAGAAAGUGUUGGGCAGAUCACGCCUCUGUCUUCUCCUUGCCCUAGGACGUCCUCAGGGUGUUUCCUGGGAGAUCUCAUGAUGGGCCUGAGCCAUUUCAGGUGCAGUUUAGAUCUGUUUAUCUCAACUGAUUUCCAUAGUUUAUACCUGAAUUACUUGUAAAGAUAUUUUCUAGGUAAGUAGAUUUCCCUUUUCCAUGACUCUACUUCAGUGCCCUGUUUACUAUUGUAAAUGCUUCUAUUGGUGCAUUGGAGUUCUGCAAAACAGAUGGUUCCCUGGGCACAAACUGCUGUCGUGGGAUACACUGUGCUCCAUCUUAGACUCUGGUGCCCUCUUUCCCUUUCUUCCAUCCCCACUCCCCUCCCUCUUCUCUCCUGUCCUCCUUCUGUUUAUUCAUCUGCUCCUUUGUCAUUGGUGGGCUCUAGAACUCUGUGGAGCUGGGCUCACUGCUGUGCUGUGGUGUCUGUGCCCAAGCACAUGGUGUCAUGUGGUGCAUUCCUUCCACAUUUCCUCUCUGUCCCAGUCCCGUGACCCCCAUCUCUGUCUCCUUUGCCAUUUGUUGUCCUUCUCUCCUUAUGAUACCUUACCCGCAUUUCCUCUUCCUUUGCUCUAGCUUUUGCACAGGAGGGUGACAUGGGAUCCUCACCUUCCAGAGUCUGGCUCUUUCACUUUUCAUGAUGUUAUCCACUUCCAUCCAUUUACCAGAAAAUGCCACCAUUUCCUUCUUCUUUAAGAACUGGAGUUCAGUCUGGAUUGUGUGGGUGUGGACAGAUCAGGAGGAUCUCUGUGGCAUAAGAAGGCAGAACCUUACCACAUUGCAGAGAGACCAAAGAGCUCUCAGUCAUGAGCCAUGUGGGACAAUUGUUUCUUGUGUUUAGUUUUCUGAUCCUUCUAAUGAGAUAUGGCAGUGUGAUGUUUCUCCUAGUUUUCUGUGGCUGAGCAACAAAUUCCCACCUAUUGAGCAGUGUGUUCCUCCACAGGCCUGUCCCUCAGGAGUCCCCGCUGGGUCCUCAGCUCAGCCUGAGAAGACUGAAAUUGACCAGCCAAUGGGCAGCUCUCCUUGCUGAAGUUCAGGGUCUUCAUCCAGGUCCAGUGGCUGAGGCAGAAUCAUUUUUCUACAGUUGUAGGGUGAGGUCCUAAUUUCCCUGUGGCCAUCAGCACAAAGUUCCUGGAAGCUGCCCUAAUUGUUUGAAGUGUGGCUCCUGCUGCCUCAAAGAGCAGCAUUAGAGCAUCUCCUCACAUCCAGUCUUAAUGGCCUGAGAUCCUCCUUCUACUGCCUCCAUGUGCAGACUGACGGGAUUCAAUGAUGGAGACAGAUCUAGUGUGUACUCUCUCCCUCUCUUAAAUUCAACUAGUUUGGUUAUGUCUUCAAGAUCCUUCAUAAAUUUUUUUUUUUAAAUCCUGUUUGAAUACUGGGGAGUGGAAUGGUACAAGGCUGGGGUUUGGGGUGAAUAAGUUAGAAUCCUGUCCACAUACUACCAUUUUUUUUUCACUUACCAUAAUGACUGGAUCCCUGUUGGACAUUCAGAAGUGGGUGCAGAUUGGAGGAAUCAGUUUUAAUAAGACCAGGUGAUUCCAGGUAAGCAGAGGAUAAAGAGGUAAACUGCAGUUGGUACAGGAAUGACAAUGGCUUCCCCUGUCUUCCUUUGUGUCAGCUUCACCAGGCACUAAGUAUUCAGGAACACAUGGUCUGCUUCUCCCCUUGACCCACAGGUGCUCACUGCCCUCAACAGAGGCCUCAGGCUCUCUGGCAGAGCUCCAUGGCCUCCCAGCCUGGGCCCUGUCUUCCUCCACACACUGACUCUGUGUCUUCCUUCCAUAGGACCAGCCCGUCCCUCUCCCAGCCCUGAGCAAGGCUGGUGUGCAGCCUGGGAACAUGGGGACAGGAUAAGAGUGACCUCCCUGGCUAUACUCCCAGGCAUCAGUCUUGGUCAAUUCACCUAUGGAUUCCCACCUUAGACCUGCAGACUUGUAGUCCUUUCAUGAUAUUUCAGAGCCUCCUGGAUUCCUCCUGGUACCCCAUGCUGAUAUCGUAAUGGAAACCAGACACCUGGCCUUCCUGUAGGCAGGCUGGUGGCUUCCUCUGGUCCCCAGGUUUCUUCCCAGCUGGAGGAGGCAUGGGGUGUCCCAUGCAGCACCCACCCAGAGAGGAUUAGAAUCUUGGCUCUGUCUUCACGAUUGUGUGUGACAUCAGGUUAGUUUCUUCACUUUCCCCGCAUCUCAGUUUCUCAUUAGCAAUGUGGGAAUAAUAACAUAUAUCUUAGAAAGUUGCCUGAGGAUUCACUAAAAUAGCAUAUGUGAAUAUUGUGUACUUUAGUAUCUGCGAACAUACUACAUUCUUAGUUAUCACUAAUUUUUAUUGUUUAGAUCAAUUUUCCUGGGAAACAAAUGUACAGAGGGGUUGAUGAUCAAUGAGUUUCCAUAUUCUUCUGUUUCACACAGGAACUAGUAUCUUCUUAAUACAAUAAAGCAGCUGAACUUGGGGGUGCAUCCUUGGGAUCCCAGUGACUUAGAGUGCUGAGGCAGAAGGAUUGCAAGUUAAAGGCCAGCCUGGGCCACUUUGCAGGACUUUUAUCAAAAUAAACAUAAAUAACCAAACCCAGAUACCUGUCACAUUCUCCCCUGGAUAACUCUUGGGUGGUUUCUCACUAAGCUUAGAAUCUUAUUUUUCUUGUCCUAGGGAGACACCUGUGGUCCCCACACUUGGUAUGUGGGUUUGGAGCCCCACGGGCACUCUGUUACCCUGUUGCAUAGAUCUCAGCCCAUGAAGAGAGCCACUGCCCUGGUGAAGGUGGGCCUGGCAUUCCCCCCGCCCCAUGCAGUUUUCCCUGCAGUUCUGGAGAUCCAACCAGAGUCACCCACAUACUCCGGACCUGCUCAGAGCCCUGAAGCUAUCUCCUGAGGAGUCUGGGUGGUGGGCCUUUAUCCUCCAGCUUCUCUUCUGCAGGGAGCUGGAAGCCCUGACCCUUCCAUAUGGAGGGCUCUGUUCCCAGGCCAGUCCCCUCUGCAUGAAGACAGGGGUCCCUGGUGUUUAGAAGUCACCUGUGCUCCUGGCCUCCUAGCUGUUGCAUGGAGUAGGCCAAAGCUAAGGAUGCAUUGGCCCUGGAGGGCAAGUUUAACAAGCUCCCCAGUUUUUGGAUGUGCAUGAAUCAUAUAUAAAUGCAAUAAUAAAGAAAACUAAAUGAAUGUAAAUACACUUCAGUAUUAAAUAAAGUGAGAAUUA